CAUAUCAUAGUGGCGCACGGGUGCGUGACACGUAUGCAACCUACCUUAUACUGAGGGAUAGCCUUUCGAAAGGGAGAUUAAUACCUCAUAACACAUUGAACUGGCAUCAGUUUAUUGUUAAAGAUUUAUUGGUAUAAGAUGGGCAUGCGUCCAAUUAGUUAGUUGGCGAGGUAACGGCUCACCAAGACGAUGAUUGGUAGGGGAACUGAGAGGUUAAUCCCCCACACUGGCACUGAGAUACGGGCCAGACUCCUACGGGAGGCAGCAGUAGGGAAUAUUGGGCAAUGGAGGCAACUCUGACCCAGCCAUGCCGCGUGCAGGAAGAAGGCGUUAUGCGUUGUAAACUGCUUUUAUAUAGGAAGAAAUAGACCUUGCGAGGUAAGUUGACGGUACUAUAUGAAUAAGCACCGGCUAACUCCGUGCCAGCAGCCGCGGUAAUACGGAGGGUGCAAGCGUUGUCCGGAUUUAUUGGGUUUAAAGGGUGCGUAGGCGGUUUAUUAAGUCAGUGGUGAAAGACGGUCGCUCAACGAUUGCAGUGCCAUUGAUACUGGUAGACUUGAGUGGGAUUGAGGUAGCUGGAAUGGAUAGUGUAGCGGUGAAAUGCAUA
rnacentral:rRNA from 1 species